rnacentral:lncRNA from 1 species
AUGGGUCCGGGGUUAUGGGGGGGAGAGGGGGGGGAAUAUGGGGGGCUGAGCAACAACACCCUGAGCACCCAUAGUAACUACAGCCCCAUAGCAACAACACCACAGCAACAAGGCCCCAACAACACCCAACAGCACCCAUAGGAACACCCAGCACCCAUAGGAACAGCCCAGCACCCCAAACAACAGCCCAGCACCCAUAGGAACAGCCCAACACCCAUAGCAACAGCCCAAGCAACAAGGCCCCGACACCCACAACAACACCCACCAGGCCCCACCAACAGCCCAGCACCCAUAGGAACACCCAGCACCCCAAAUAACACCCCAACACCCCGAACAACAGCCCAGCACCCAUAGCAACACCCUGAGGACCCAUAGGAACACCCCAAUACCCAUAGGAACACCCCAGCACCCCAAAUAACACCCUGAGCACCCAUAGGAAUACCCCAACACCCCCAACAACACCCCAGCACCCAUAGGAACAGCGCAACACCCAUAGGAACAGCCCAACACCCAUAGCAACAGCCCAAGCAACAAGGCCCCAACACCCACAACAACACCCAGCAGGCCCCAACAACACCCAGCACCCAUAGGAACACCCAGCACCCCAAACAACACCCAGCACCCAUAGGAACACCCCAACACCCAUAGGAACACCCCAGCAUCCCAAUAACACCCUGAGCACCCAUAGGAACACCCCAGCACCCAUAGGAACACCCCAACACCCAUAGGAACAACCCAGCACCCAUAGGAACAACCAGCACCCCAAACAACACCCUGAGCACCCAUAGGAACACCCCAGCACCCCAAUAACACCCUGAGCACCCAUAGGAACACCCCAGCACCCCAAUAACACCCUGAGCACCCAUAGGAACACCCAGCACCCAUAGGAACACCCAGCACCCAUAGGAACACCCAGCACCCAUAGGAACACCCAGCACCCAUAGGAACACCCAGCACCCCAAACAUCACCCUGAGCACCCAUAGGAACACCCCAGCACCCCCAAUAACACCCUGAGCACCCAUAGGAACACCCCAACACCCAUAGGAACACCCCAGCACCCCAAACAACCCCCCCAGCACCCAUAGGAACACCUCAGCACCCCAAUAACACCCUGAGCACCCAUAGGAACACCCCAACACC